rnacentral:misc_RNA from 1 species
AACAAUUUUCAAAAAAAUACAAAAAACAAUACACCCAAAAAGCACGAGUUAUCUCAAGACCACUUUAACAACUUGAUGGUUUUUAAGUCUAUAAAACAUCAAACAUUCCCUUCAAAGUCUACUCUAGAAAUUCUUUCAAUGUUGGAAAAUCCACAAAUUCAUCCAGUGUUUAACCCAUAUGUCAAGGUGCCACAACUGCACCUGAACGUAGCACGAGCUUUUAAUUUUGCACAUAACCCGAUACAGGCGCCUCUAAU